rnacentral:rRNA from 1 species
AUUGAACGCUGGCGGCAGGCCUAACACAUGCAAGUCGAGCGGAAACGAGUUAUCUGAACCUUCGGGGAACGAUAACGGCGUCGAGCGGCGGACGGGUGAGUAAUGCCUAGGAAAUUGCCCUGAUGUGGGGGAUAACCAUUGGAAACGAUGGCUAAUACCGCAUGAUGCCUACGGGCCAAAGAGGGGGACCUUCGGGCCUCUCGCGUCAGGAUAUGCCUAGGUGGGAUUAGCUAGUUGGUGAGGUAAGGGCUCACCAAGGCGACGAUCCCUAGCUGGUCUGAGAGGAUGAUCAGCCACACUGGAACUGAGACACGGUCCAGACUCCUACGGGAGGCAGCAGUGGGGAAUAUUGCACAAUGGGCGCAAGCCUGAUGCAGCCAUGCCGCGUGUGUGAAGAAGGCCUUCGGGUUGUAAAGCACUUUCAGUCGUGAGGAAGGYRGKGWMGUUAAUAGCKKMWUYAUUUGACGUUAGCGACAGAAGAAGCACCGGCUAACUCCGUGC